rnacentral:rRNA from 1 species
UACGAAGGGGCUAGCGUUGCUCGGAAUCACUGGGCGUAAAGGGUGCGUAGGCGGGUCUUUAAGUCAGGGGUGAAAUCCUGGAGCUCAACUCCAGAACUGCCUUUGAUACUGAGGAUCUUGAGUUCGGGAGAGGUGAGUGGAACUGCGAGUGUAGAGGUGAAAUUCGUAGAUAUUCGCAAGAACACCAGUGGCGAAGGCGGCUCACUGGCCCGAUAACUGACGCUGAGGCACGAAAGCGUGGGGAGCAAACAGGG